AUUCAUUGCAUUUAAGUAAUCAAACAACCACAAACUGUCACUGUCACUUUCAUUUCCUGUCAUUGUUCAUCUUCUUUAGCUGCUCCCACUUUAUCACUGGAGUUGGAUGCCCCCUGCAUCUAAGUAUCAGAAAGGGAAGGCUGUAGGUGUGUACAUGUGCUAGAAAGAGAGGUGAGAGAGAGAGGCAGUGAAUGCUGGAUAGAUCGUGGUGCUGGGUUUAUAUCAUUCACCUGUGGUUUUAGAAACAUUUUUUUUUGGUUUGUUUCUUGGAUCAAAUGAAAAUCCUAGCCUUAUUGCUGCAGGAUUUUCUUAAUCCUCUCUCAGUAGUUAAAGACUAUCUCUAGUUUCACUUUGUUUGUUGCAGCUUGUGCAGAAGUGAUACAAGGCAGGUUUAAUUGCUUCCAUCAGCAGCUAUGGGAGAGGAGGAAGAGAGAGGAGAGAGAAGAGAGACAGAGAGAGAGAAAUGUCAUUGGCAAUGAAAAGAUAGCAACUCAUUUAUGUCAAAGAUAUAUCGGAAAGUACCUGUUUCUCAUUUGCAUUGUCAAGCAAAAUACCAGGGAAGAUUGUUAUACUGUAUGCUUUUUUAAAAAGUAUGUUUCCAUGUAUGUAAUCACAUCUGUGAACAUAUUAGAGGGAUAGGGUUAAUAGUGUAUGUUUCCAAGUGUGUUCCAUUAUAUUCUAACUGCAAUUUCCUGAACACUAAUUUACAGCUCUACUUCAAGCUUCCUCCUGCUGCACUGAAGUAAAUACUGUAUAUAUUUCAGGAAUUCUGUACAAAAUUAUAUAUUUGAUAACGGAGUGACUGCUGAUUCAGUAAACAUCGCAUAGCUGCACUGUAUUCACUGCGGUGCCACACAAUUUCUGCACAGUAGGCACAUGAAGGAGGGGAAUUGGUAUACAUUCAUAUUUGUAUAUCAAAUCCUCGAAUUCCCUGCCAAUCAUUUCGCAUACUGAUUGGGGAAACUGAGAAUUCCAUACUAUAUUGUGUAGGAAGAGAAAGGUCCAUUUUAGAGAUGAAUUGACUGAGUUAAUGAGAAAUGAAAAGCAUUUUCUAGAAAAUAUCAAAUAAAGAGCAUGAAGAAGAAGAAAGGAUAGGUGAU
rnacentral:lncRNA from 1 species